rnacentral:rRNA from 1 species
UACGUAGGGGGCAAGCGUUGUCCGGAUUUAUUGGGCGUAAAGAGCGUGUAGGCGGCUUGGCAAGUCCGCUGUGAAAACUCGAGGCUCAACCUCGAGACGUCGGUGGAAACUGCCUCGCUAGAGUCCGGAAGAGGAGAGUGGAAUUCCUGGUGUAGCGGUGAAAUGCGCAGAUAUCAGGAAGAACACCAGUGGCGUAAGCGAAUCUCUGGACAGUUCCUGACGCUGAGGCACGAAGGCUAGGGGAGCAAACGGG